AAGGGGCUUGUUUGAUUACAAGAUGGCCAAGAACUAGAAGGAAAACUCAGCUAAUAUCAGCAGUUCAACUUUGCUUCA
ensembl:misc_RNA